rnacentral:tRNA from 1 species
CCCAACCCACACCUAAACUAAUUAAACACGCUAGAUAGAAAGGAUUCGAACCUCCACAUAAGAAUCCAAAACUCUUCGUACUUCCAAUUAUAUACUACACUC